AGAAUAAUGUUAAAACACAGCCGAUAUGAAUCUGCUGGGGGAAAUUGGAUAUCUAAAAAUAUUGUUGCCGUGGCAACAUGUCAAACUGGAAUACUUCUCAGGUGAUUUUGAGGCAUAUAACAUGCUUAGAAUUUCAUCAAACUCAGAACACAUAUCAGUAUUAGUGACAGCUAGACACUGGCAAAAUUUCAUAAGAGGGCGUGGAAGAGGCACUCUAUAGCGCCACCUUUUGUCAAAAGUGGGGGGGUUAGUUUUAGCUACAGACACCAAACUCAGUACAAAAAUUGUUCUUAUCAAGACGGACAACUUUCUAAUUCACAGUCAUCAGCUACGACCAACAGGAAGUCGGCUAUUUUGAUUUGAAUGUGGAUUGUUUUUUACAUUUCGCUGUGAAUUAAUGCAUACUGCUCAGAGGAGAGUAACACUAUAAACACCAAACUUGGUGUACAUGUUGAAAAAACAUUGAGGAACUUAAAUUGUGAAUGGGUUUUGGAUAGCUUGGAUGGUUUUGUCGUGGGGAUUUUUUAAAAUGACAAUAAAGAUGGAAUUAUUAAUUUUCCUGCAUUUUUAAAUUCCAAACACUUCAAAACCUUUUUUCAUAAAGAAAAAAAGUUAUUCUGAGUAAAUAUGCAUAGUUUCAUGACUUUACAACACUGUAUGGAUAACAGAAAAUUAAAAAACUGUCAGACAUCUCAUCUCACUCUGUCCAUCUGUUUGAGUGUGUGUGCUUAGACUUCCAUUGUCUGAGAGAAAUAGCGCCCCUACAGGUUCAGUUACCGGACUAAAAAAGGGAGGAGACUGUCUUUUGGUUUCGAUUUUAAAUCGGUUAAAAUACAAAUAAAUACUUGGAUUUAAUUCACAGUGACAAGCUAAACCAACAUAUAUGAUUAUUAUCAGGUCAGGGCUCAUUAAUAAUUGAUGUGUGGUCAGUGAUACGUGAGAAACACGAGAGAUGAAUCACCGCUCUGAGCAGGAGCGUGUGGAAUGAUGAGCUCAGAAAAAACGAGUUUAUUCUUGUUUUAUAGCUAUUAAAAAUAAAGUAUUGCAGCGAUAUCACACAAUUCACCAAUUAGAGCACACCAAGAGCUAAAUUAAGAUGUUUUUGAACUGUUUGUGUGAAAAUGAAAUAUUUGCGGCUGCCUACUGAAAUCACUGCCUCCGAUCAGCGCGCACAGUGUCUCAGAGCUCAAAACAAACGAAUUUAUUCUUGUUUAAGAGCUUUUUAAAAUAAAUUAUUGCCAUAAAUGCACACAAUACAUCCAUUAUAACACAACACGAGCUAAAUGCAGGUGUUUGUGACCCGUUUAAGUGUGCAAGACUAUUUGAAAGCGCGACUGGCAGAAUAACAUAUAUCUCUCGAGCUGCAGGAUUCUGCCUUUCGUCGUAAGAACGAACACAUCACGGACAAGAUUAUUUCAAAAUACAUAAUAGCUUGGCUAAUAUAAACAAAAACAGCCACGUGAACAUAAACUGUUGAG